rnacentral:rRNA from 1 species
GACGAACGCUGGCGGCGUGCCUAAUACAUGCAAGUCGUACGCUGAAGCUUGGUGCUUGCACCGAGCGGAUGAGUUGCGAACGGGUGAGUAACGCGUAGGUAACCUGCCUGGUAGCGGGGGAUAACUAUUGGAAACGAUAGCUAAUACCGCAUAAGAGUAGAUGUUGCAUGACAUUUGCUUAAAAGGUGCAAUUGCAUCACUACCAGAUGGACCUGCGUUGUAUUAGCUAGUUGGUGAGGUAACGGCUCACCAAGGCAACGAUACAUAGCCGACCUGAGAGGGGGGUCGGCCACCCUGGGACGGGGACACGGCCCAGACGCCUACGGGAGGCAGCAGUAGGGAACCUUCGGCAACGGACGGAAGUCUGACCGAGCAACGCCGCGUGAGUGAAGAAGGGUUUCGGAUCGGAAAGCUCGGUUGUAAGAGAAGAACGAGUGUGAGAGUGGAAAGUUCACACUGUGACGGUAGCUGAUCAGAAAGGGACGGCUAACUACGUG